CAGUAGCCGCGGUAAUACGAAGGGGGCUAGCGUUGCUCGGAAUGACUGGGCGUAAAGGGCGCGUAGGCGGCGAUCAAAGUCAGGCGUGAAAUUCCUGGGCUCAACCUGGGGGCUGCGUUUGAUACUUGGUUGCUAGAGUGAGGAAGAGGGUCGUGGAAUUCCCAGUGUAGAGGUGAAAUUCGUAGAUAUUGGGAAGAACACCGGUGGCGAAGGCGGCGACCUGGUCCUUGACUGACGCUGAGGCGCGAAAGCGUGGGGAGCAAACAGGAUUAGAUACCCGUGUAGUCCCUGUCUCUUAUAC
rnacentral:rRNA from 1 species